rnacentral:rRNA from 1 species
GAUGAACGCUGGCGGCGUGCUUAACACAUGCAAGUCGAACGAAAAGUCCCUGCGUGCCCCUUACUCCAGUGGCCAACGGGUGAGUAACCCGUCGGUGGUCUACCCCGCACUUCGCCUUAAGCCUCGGAGAGUGUGUCUAAUACCGGCGAGUGUCCAUAUUGAAUGUGAUGGUUGCAAAGUUUUUUCCGUGUAGGAUGAGCCCGCUGCCUAUCAGCGUGCUGGUGGGGUAAUGGCCUACCGACGCGGCGACGGGUAGCCGGACUGAGAGGGUGUACGGCCACGUUGAGACUGAGAUACGGCCCCGACUCCUACGGGUGGGAGAAGUGGGAAAGAUGGAAAGAGGGGAGCAAGGGUGAUGCAGCGGCGCCGCGGGGGGGAUGACGGCGUUCGGGUUGGAAACGCAAUGCGCUAGGAACGAAGCAUAUUGUGACGGUACCUAAAUAAGAAGCCCCGGCUAACUACGUG